rnacentral:rRNA from 1 species
GGACAACGUUUCGAAAGGAACGCUAAUACCGCAUACGUCCUACGGGAGAAAGCAGGGGACCUUCGGGCCUUGCGCUAUCAGAUGAGCCUAGGUCGGAUUAGCUAGUAGGUGAGGUAAAGGCUCACCUAGGCGACGAUCCGUAACUGGUCUGAGAGGAUGAUCAGUCACACUGGAACUGAGACACGGUCCAGACUCCUACGGGAGGCAGCAGUGGGGAAUAUUGGACAAUGGGCGAAAGCCUGAUCCAGCCAUGCCGCGUGUGUGAAGAAGGUCUUCGGAUUGUAAAGCACUUUAAGUUGGGAGGAAGGGCAGUAAGUUAAUACCUUGCUGUNUUGACGUUACCAACAGAAUAAGCACCGGCUAACUUCGUGCCAGCAGCCGCGGUAAUACGAAGGGUGCAAGCGUUAAUCGGAAUUACUGGGCGUAAAGCGCGCGUAGGUGGUUCAGCAAGUUGGAGGUGAAAUCCCCGGGCUCAACCUGGGAACUGCCUCCAAAACUACUGA